CACGUAGGGCGCAAGCGUUGUCCGGAAUUAUUGGGCGUAAAGAGCUCGUAGGCGGUCUGUUGCGUCCGCUGUGAAAACUCGGGGCUUAACCCCGAGCCUGCAGUGGAUACGGGCAGACUAGAGGUAGGUAGGGGAGAAUGGAAUUCCCGGUGUAGCGGUGAAAUGCGCAGAUAUCAGGAAGAACACCCGUGGCGAAAGCGGCUCUCUGGAACGGUACUGACGCUGAGACGCGAAAGCGUGGGGAGCGAACAGG
rnacentral:rRNA from 1 species